UGGUAGUGUAUUGGACAACCAUGGCUUUAACGGGUAACGGAGGAUUAGGAUUCGAUUCCGGAGAGGGAGCCUGAGAAACGGCUACCACAUCUAAGGAAGGCAGCAGGCGCGUAAAUUACCCAAUCCUGACUCAGGGAGGUAGUGACAAGAAAUAACGGACCGAGGCUCAUGCUUCGGGAUUGCAAUGAGUAGAAUUUAAACCCCUUUACGAGGAACCAUUGGAGGGCAAGUCUGGUGCCAGCAGCCGCGGUAAAUGCAGCUCCAAUAGCAUAUAUUAAAGUUGUUGCUGUUAAAAAGCUCGUAGUUGGAUUUCUGGAGGAGCUCCAACGUCCGCUGAUGUUUGUGCUGCGGAGCUCUUCCAUCCUUCUGUUAACGCAUCAUGGGAUUCACUUCCUGGGUGCGGUCUCAGAUAUUUUACCUUGAGAAAAUUAGAGUGUUCCAGGCAGGCUUGCGCCGGAAUACAUUAGCAUGGAAUAAUAGAAUAGGACUUCGCUCUCCUUUGUUGGUUUGAGGGAACGGAGUAAUGAUUAAUAGGGAUAGUUGGGGGCAUUAGUAUUUAAUUGUCAGAGGUGAAAUUCUCGGAUUUGUUAAAGACUAACUUAUGCGAAAGCAUUUGCCAAGGAUG
rnacentral:rRNA from 1 species